rnacentral:rRNA from 1 species
AACAAACGCUGGCGGCGUGCCUAAUACAUGCAAGUCGAACGGGUAGCAAUACCAGUGGCGCACGGGUGAGGAAUACAUAGAUAAUCUGCCUUCGAGUCGGGGAUAACCAGUCGAAAGAUUGGCUAAUACCGGAUAAGACCACAAGAUCUGCGGAUCUAGGGGUUAAAGGUUUUUCGCUUGAAGAUGAGUCUAUGCGAGAUUAGCUAGUUGGUGAGGUAAUGGCUCACCAAGGCGACGAUCUCUAACUGGUCUUAGAGGAUGAUCGGUCACACUGGAACUGAGACACGGUCCAGACUCCUACGGGAGGCAGCAGUAGGGAAUAUUGCGCAAUGGGGGAAACCCUGACGCAGCGACGCCGCGUGAGUGAUGAAGGCCUUCGGGCCGUAAAGCUCUGUCGUAUGGGAAUAACACAAUGAAUGUACCAUGCAAGAAAGGAUCGGCUAACUUCGUGCCAGCCGCCGCGGUAA